UACGUAGGGUGCGAGCGUUAAUCGGAAUUACUGGGCGUAAAGGGCGCGUAGGUGGCCUGUUAAGUCGAACGUGAAAUCCCCGGGCUCAACCCGGGAACUGCGUCCGAGACUGGCAGGCUCGAAUCCGGGAGAGGGAUGUGGAAUUCCAGGUGUAGCGGUGAAAUGCGUAGAUAUCUGGAGGAACACCGGUGGCGAAGGCGGCGUUCUGGACUGCAACUGACACUGAGAGACGAAAGCCAGGGGAGCAAACGGG
rnacentral:rRNA from 1 species